rnacentral:rRNA from 1 species
CGCUAGCGGCGGAUGGGUGAGUAACACGUGGGCAAUCUGCCCUAAAGACUGGGAUACCACUUGGAAACAGGUGCUAAUACCGGAUAACAACAUGAAUCGCAUGAUUCAAGUUUGAAAGGCGGCGCAAGCUGUCACUUUAGGAUGAGCCCGCGGCGCAUUAGCUAGUUGGUGGGGUAAAGGCCUACCAAGGCAAUGAUGCGUACCCGAGUUGAGAGACUGAUCGGCCACAUUGGGACUGAGACACGGCCCAAACUCCUACGGGAGGCAGCAGUAGGGAAUCUUCCACAAUGGACGCAAGUCUGAUGGAGCAACGCCGCGUGAGUGAAAAAGGUCUUCGGAUCGUAAAGCUCUGUUGUUGGUGAAGAAGGAUAGAGGCAGUAACUGGUCUUUAUUUGACGGUAAUCAACCAGAAAGUCACGGCUAACUACGUGCCAGCAGCCGCGGUAAUACGUAGGUGGCAAGCGUUGUCCGGAUUUAUUGGGCGUAAAGCGAGCGCAGGCGGAAUGAUAAGUCUGAUGUGAAAGCCCACGGCUCAACCGUGGAACUGCAUCGGAAACUGUCAUUCUUGAGUGCAGAAAAGGAAAGUGGAACUCCAUGUGUAGCGGUGGAAUGCGUAAAUAUUUGGAAGAACACCAGUGGCGAAGGCGGCUCUCUGGUCUGCAACUGACGCUGAGGCUCGAAAGCAUGGGUAGCGAACAGGAUUAAAUACCCUGGUAGUCCAUGCCGUAAACGAUGAGCGCUAGGUGUUGGGGACUUUCCGGUCCUCAGUGCCGCAGCAAACGCAUUAAGCGCUCCGCCUGGGGAGUACGACCGC